GUUACUAUACACAACAUUUGCCAAAAAGAUGAUCACUGAAGAUGAAGCAGCAUAUACAAAAAAUAUGCAUGUGUGAUUCAGAAACUUAUAUCACACAAAGAUAAGUGAUCCAAUCUUGAUUAUAUGCUAAUUCUUCUGAUUCUAACAAAAUAUGUCCAGUGACAAAAAUGUGCACAGGUGGAGUGGAGAUCCAUGGAGGAAAUGAGCAUUGCACACACACACACAAAAAAAGACAUUCUAAAUUUAAAUACACUACUGCUAAUUUCUUAGGUAUUGACAUAUAUUCUGAUGAAGAACACAAUUUCAAAGCUGUUGAAAAAACAAUUCGAUAUCAAAAGUCUACAUAGUAUGCUUUGAUGAGCAUACAUUUCUGUUAUACAUUUGAGAGACACAAAAA